GGAUGGAUCACCUCCUUUCUAAGGAAAUUUUUUAAAAUCAUCAUCUUCAGUUUUGAAAGACUUAAGUUAAUUUAAAAAAAUAAGUUUUUCGUUUUUUUCAUUAGUUAAUUCUUUUAAUAUAAUAUUCUUUAAGAUUUUAAGGGCCUAUAGCUCAGUUGGUUAGAGCACACGCCUGAUAAGCGUGAGGUCGGUGGUUCAAGUCCAUUUAGGCCCACCAGUCUAAAUGUACUGAAAAUCAAAAAAGUUCUUUGAAAAGUAGAUAAACAACGUAAAUUCUCAAAAUAAUGAGGAAAAUAAGGGCGUACAGUGGAUGCCUUGGCACUAAGAGCCGAUGAAGGACGCAAUUAACGGCGAUACGUCAUGGGUAAUUGUAAAUGAAUGCAGAUCCAUGGAUUUCCGAAUGGGGCAACCUACUAUAAUAAACUUAUAGUUUUUUUGAUGUUAAAGUCAAAAAAGGGAACGCAGUGAACUGAAAUAUCUAAGUAACUGUAGGAAAAGAAAGUAACAACGAUUCUGGUAGUAGCGACGAGCGAAACCGGAAGAGCCUGAUACGAAUUACUAGUUAUAAAAUUUUAAAAAACUCGAAGUUUUUGGAAAGAAACAUCGAAGAAGGUGAUAAUCCUGUAGAGGUAAUUUAAAAUCUAGCGUAUCAGAAAGUACGGCGAGACACGAGAAAUCUUGUUGGAAUAUGGGAGGACCAUCUCCUAAGGCUAAAUACUCCUUAGUGACCGAUAGUGAACUAGUACCGUGAGGGAAAGGCGAA
rnacentral:sRNA from 1 species